GACGAACGCUGGCGGCGUGCCUAAUACAUGCAAGUCGAGCGAAGUUUUUCUGGUGCUUGCACUAGAAAAACUUAGCGGCGAACGGGUGAGUAACACGUAAAGAACCUGCCUCAUAGACUGGGACAACUAUUGGAAACGAUAGCUAAUACCGGAUAACAGUAUUUCUCGCAUGAGAGAUAUUUAAAAGUUGGUUAUGCUAACACUAUGAGAUGGCUUUGCGGUGCAUUAGCUAGUUGGUGGGGUAAAGGCCCACCAAGGCGACGAUGCAUAGCCGACCUGAGAGGGUGAUCGGACACACUGGGACUGAGACACGGCCCAGACUCCUACGGGAGGCAGCAGUAGGGAAUCUUCCGCAAUGGGCGAAAGCCUGACGGAGCAACGCCGCGUGAGUGAAGAAGGAUUUCGGUUCGUAAAGCUCUGUUGUUAGGGAAGAAUGGAUAUGUAGUAACUAUACAUGUAAGAGACGGUACCUAACCAGAAAGCCACGGCUAACUACGUG
rnacentral:rRNA from 1 species